CGGUCUCUGAUUCUUUCUCACGAGUCCGAAUUGUAAUUUAGUAGAAGGUGUUUCGGACAUGAUAAUGGUUCAAGUUAGUUGAAAUAUGACGUCAUAGAGGGUGAUAAUCCCGUCUACGGCCAAAUUAUCUGUCCAUGUGAAACCCUUUCGACGAGUUGGUUGUUUGGGAAUGCAGCUCAAAAUGGGUGGUAAAUUUCAUCUAAAGCUAAAUAUCAGUCAGAGACCGAUAGCGCACAAGUAGAGUGAUCGAAAGAUGAAAAGCACUUUGAAAAGAGAGUUAAACAGCACGUGAAAUUGUUGAAAGGGAAGCGCUUGCAACUAGACUUGUUUGCAGUAUUCAGCCUCUUGAAAAAGUGGUGUAUUUGCUGUUAUACAGGCCAACAUCGGUUUUGGCGGUUGGAUAAAGACCUAAGAAAAGUAGCUUUCAUUCGUGAAAGUGUUAUAGUCUGGGUGUAAUGCAGCCUGUUGAGACCGAGGAGUGCGCUUCGUGCGAGGAUGUUGGCGUAAUGGUUGUCAGCGACCCGUCUUGAAACACGGACCAAGGAGUCGACCAAUAUAGCGAGAAUUAGGGUAUUAAAACCCUUAUUCGUAAUGAAAGUGAACGUAGGUGGGAGCAUGUAUUUGCGCACCAUCGACCGAUCUGAGUUCGCGAGGAUUUGAGUAAGAGUUAUAUUGGUUGGACCCGAAAGAAGGUGAACUAUUCCUGACUAGGCUGACUCAGAGGAACGAUGAUGAGGCCGCAGCGGUUCUGACGUGCAAAUCGAUCGUCAAAGCUGGAAAAUAGGGGCAAAAGACUAAUCGAACCUUCUAGUAGCUGGUUCUGUCGAAUUUCCCUCAGAAAGGAAAAACAGCUACUAGAAAGGUUCGAUAGUCUUUCGCCCUAUUCCAGCUUGACGAUCGAUUUUGCACCGUCAGAACCGGCUGCGCCCUCCAUCAGAGGUUUCUCUGAGACUUCAACUCAAGUCAGGAAUAGUUCACCUUCUUUUCGGGUCCACCAAUAAAACAUCUUAAUAAAAUCCGCAGAAUGCAAGAGGUGAGAGUGGUGGCAUAUAUCACGCUCCUCCUUCUUUUCAUUUAUAAAGAAAGAGAGG
rnacentral:rRNA from 1 species